rnacentral:rRNA from 1 species
GACGAACCGUCCAAACGUUAUUCGGAAUCACUGGGCUUAAAGGGUGCGUAGGCGGCGCGGCAAGUUGGGUGUGAAAUCCCUCGGCUCAACCGAGGAACUGCGCCCAAAACUGCCGUGCUCGAGGGAGAUAGAGGUGAGCGGAACUUAGGGUGGAGCGGUGAAAUGCGUUGAUAUCCUAAGGAACACCGGUGGCGAAGGCGGCUCACUGGUCCAUUACUGACGCUGGAGGUGACGAAGCGGUGGGGAGCAAACAGG